GAUUAAAGGUGUGCGCCACCGCCGCCUGGCUCACGUACUCUUUGAAUUUUGCUUUAGCCAUAAAGCCCAAUUCCCUCUCCUGAGUACCCUUCCUUCCCCUACGGACCACAAGAUGUUUCCUGGAGAGGGGCUUAGUUUACACCCAGGUACAAAAGAAAGUCUGUAGAGGUCAUGGUUGAGGAAUUGAGAUGUGACAACGAUCAGGCUGCCACGUGCCAUGUCACCUCUCUCGGCAUCUAGAACCUCACUCAGAUCCGCACGUGCAGCCUUGUUUCCUGUAGUACUGCACACCGGCCAAGCGGGACCUUGUACAACAUGGUUCCUGAUCUUGGUGGCAGAGGACUGACUGGUAAAGCCGUGGGAAAGAACAUGGUAGGACUCCCUGGGGUCCUACCUCUGACUGCAACUGGGAUGCUGUGGUCCAGCUCUGUUCAUGAUGGUUUUUUUUUUUUUUUUUGUCCAGAAUGUCUUGCAUACGGGGUUGUGCCAUAAACUUAACUCUGCCUCCCUCCUCCUCCUUCUUAAAUUUCCUCGUACAGUUUUCUAAAGCAAUGAUCUCAUUUCAUCAUUAAGCUAGACAGCCAAAGGACAUCCAAAUAUUCCCUACUCUUAUCUCCUGGAGGACAAAACCGACCCCGGCUGGGAGCCACUGGGCUGGAUGAGCAACUUCAGUCCGAGGGUACAGAAGGGAACUCCACUUUGCUCACACCAAGUAAUCCAGUAUGAUUCCCCAAAGUAUUGGCUUUGCUUGAUGAACAGAACUGGGAUACCAGUUCUCAGGGCCAUGCCGCCAGAUGAACGUGUUGUAUGUGAAGAACAGAAUUACAAAUGGAAGGCAUCAUUCUUUUAUUGCCUCUGGUACCAAUUCCUGGGAGUUUCACAGCCACAGUGCAGGCGUCAAGGAGGAAUUACAAAGUGUUCCGAGGAAAGACAUCACUAGGCCACGUCGCAGAUGGUUUUACUCAUGGAGACCUGCUGAACAUCUGAACAGCAGUCCUCACAUAGCAACUCUCAAGAUACCCACGAUGGGCCUGAAGUUCCUCUUCUGGGCCACCAGGAAUUCUUUCAGAUGACCCACUACCACAAGAGCAGACCUUGCCCAGACCUCCCGGUGGGCUGCCACCGGAUCAGAGUGAUGGAUCAAAGCUGUUCUCCUAGCAACCGGAGCGCCACACAGCCGCUGUCGAGGCUUUCCGCCGGGCUGCUUCUUGAAUAAACACAACAGAGGCCGAGUGAGAAGUAGCUACAGUUUAAUACAAACCUGCACCAGAA